GACGAACGCUGGCGGCGUGCUUAACACAUGCAAGUCGAACGAGCUUCGCGAGGUAGCUUGCUACUGAGCGAAGCGAGUGGCGGACGGGUGAGUAACGCGUGAGGAACCUGUCUUUCACAGGGGGAUAACGCACCGAAAGGUGUGCUAAUACCGCAUAAGACCGCAGAGCCGCAUGGCUUAGGGGUCAAAGGAGCAAUCCGGUGAAAGGUGGCCUCGCGUCCCAUUAGGUAGUUGGUGAGGUAACGGCCCACCAAGCCUGCGAUGGGUAGCCGACCUGAGAGGGUGAUCGGCCACAUUGGAACUGAGACACGGUCCAAACUCCUACGGGAGGCAGCAGUGGGGAAUAUUGGGCAAUGGGCGCAAGCCUGACCCAGCAACGCCGCGUGAGGGAAGAAGGUUUUCGGAUUGUAAACCUCUGUCCUCAAUGAAAAGCAGAGGAUGGUAAUUGAGGAGGAAGCCCCGGCUAACUACGUAG
rnacentral:rRNA from 1 species